rnacentral:tRNA from 11 species
CUUCAAAUCGGAGGGGGCUGCAGUAUGGUCCAUGCAGGUUCGAU